rnacentral:lncRNA from 1 species
AGUUUUGCACAUAAUAUGGUUUGUCAUAAUUAUAUGAACCAGUGGUUAGGGGGAGAUAAACCAAUGAUUGGAUGGUGGUGGAGUUAGACAAUAUAUACGUGAAUUCGAGGAUACAAUAAUUUAGUAUAGAAAGAUCAAUUUGCUGAUAUAACUUCGUAAAAUAUUUUUGAUAUGGGAAGUAUUAAUGAUAGCCAUCAACUUGUAUUAUAAUGAAGGGGUCAAAUAUCGAUGAUGUAAUGAGUGA